GGUCCCUCACUUCAGGGACACAGCCCGGACAGCUGACCCCAACUGACCCAAGGGAUGUCCCAGCCCGUACGGCGUCAUGCUCAGCCUGUAGAGCUGGGGGA